rnacentral:lncRNA from 1 species
UGAAUUUAAUUUUCUGGAAGGCAAUUUUUUAGACAAACAUUUUACCAGGAGAGGAGUUUGCAAACUCUGGAGCCUCCUCCCAGCCCGAUGGAGUCGCCGUCACGCUGCUGACGGGUCAGCCAGACAAAGCUUUCCGCUGAGGCCGUCAAGUUUGUCUCUUUCAAGGACUUGGCAUUUUACACCUUCAAGUGAAAUCUGAUUUGUAAGAGUAUUUUUUAGGGUGGAAACACACAAAAAUGAAGGGAUUUUGAGAAAAAAUCCUUUUGAAGCCUUUGCACAACAAACACCCCCGUAUGUAAAUAGGACUGUCACUCGCUGUUUGUCCACAGCGAGGGCCCAGAUGAACCAGCGCAGUGCGCGCCGACAGGAACAGCUGACUCAUUAGCGGAGAGCAGUGAAAGGUAAUUAACCCUGGGAAAAGUGCAGCUGCCGUGCGGGCUGUGCCUUUCUGUAGGAUCUGAUUAGAAAUUAGUGUUCAACCACUGAUUCUUUUUUUUUUNNNNNNNNNNNNUUUUCCAAAAAGACUGUCAUUGAUAAUUCACUUUCACUCUCAGGUGUGUCCCCAGAAAAGGUUCUCAAAUGCACUUGUGUACAAAGGGACUCAAAUCUAAACAGCGUUUUCUGCCGAGCAGACACCUGUUUUUCUCGUUGAGAGGGAGUUCUUUCAAAUGAAUCUUGUUUGGCUAUUGAAGACGGAUAGCGCCCAGCCCGUACUCUGUCUGUCUGCAGAUGACUUGAGAAGAUUGUUUUAUAUGGUUAAUAAGCUGUAGAUAAUUACCAUUUAAUUAAGUUUCUCUUUUUCUCUCCAUUUUUCCCUCCAAUGACGUUCCUUGUCAGUAGCAAUGGAAAUUCUCCAGUUCAAAUCCAGUGGACGUUAGGGAAGGAACUCCAGUGGCUGACUUGGGUUGGAGAAGCAUCUGCUUAAUGUCUGGUCAGAGCUUUCAAGGAACCCAGAAAUUCAUGCUGAGAAAUCUGGGCACCCCAAUCUACUGCAAAGGGUGAAAGACGGACGCGAGAACUCUCCUGCCAGGAAGGUUGGCGCCGCGUGUCCUACAGCACCGGAACUGCUGGCCAGAGCGCUCUGCGGAAUGAAUUGCAGGAUUCCUCACUAAAGCGAGCAAAGACAUUUCGUCAUUCUGGCGGAGGAGGGAAAACCUCAGUGCACAAGUCACCCGGAGAAAGAGUGGGAGGUAAGGCAGCGUUUUUAUUAAAAAGUAGAAUAUAUUGAAGUAAAAGACAUCGGCCGCGGCGUCCG